AACACGACUAUUAAUGCCACUUCUGGAUACAUUGUGAGCCCUGGAUACCCAAACUUCUAUCUAACAAAUGUUAGUUGUUAUUGGAUUAUCAAUUCUGCAUCGGGUAGACCCGUUACUUUAAGUAUACCUGACAUAAACACUGAGUCCAGCACUGGAUGUAUCUAUGACUACGUCAGAGUUUUUGAUGGAAACACUAGUGGCUCGAGAAGUAUUGGACAGUACUGUGGUAACAGUUCACCUGCUGCUGUAAGGUCAAGUGGUCAGUCCUUGUAUGUCCAGUUUAGAUCUGAUGAAUCUGUCACUGGGAGAGGCUUUAAAGCCCAGUUUAUGACUUUAUAAGAUAAUCUACUAGAUACAGACUGCAACAUACAGAAAAUAUUUGAAUUAUGUUUUCCUCAUUUCGUUUGACUCCAUAAUUAUUUUAUUUUUGUAACUAAAAGUAUAUUAAACUUGUAGGAAAAAAAAUGUUA
rnacentral:sRNA from 1 species